UGGGGACCAACAGACAGCACCAAGUCUGAGCCUUCCUGUUCCUGGGGAUUGAGGCACAGGGUGGGGACCAACAGAGAGCACCAAGUCUGAGCUUCCUGUUCCUGGGGACUGAGGCACAGGGUGGGGACCAACAGAGAGCACCAAGUCUGAGCCUUCCUGUUCCUGGGGAUUGAGGCACAGGGUGGGGACCAACAGAGAGCACCAAGUCUGAGCCUUCCUGUUCCUGGGGACUCAGGCACAGGGUGGGGACCAACAGAGAGCACCAAGUCUGAGCUUCCUGUUCCUGGGGACUGAGGCACAGGGUAGGGACCAACAGAGAGCACCCAGUCUGAGCUUCCUGUUCCUGGGGACUCAGGCACAGGGUGGGGGACCAACAGAGAGCACCAAGUCUGAGCUUCCUGUUCCUGGGGGACUGAGGCACAGGGUGGGGACCAACAGAGAGCACCCAGUCUGAGCCUUCUUGUUCCUGGGGACUCAGGCACAGGGUUCGGGACCACUCCUCCUCCUGCAGUGACUGGCAGGGUUGGUUGAGUGAUCGCUCCCUGCCUGGUCCCCUGUUCCGUGGCCUCUGCUGGGACCUGUUUCUACAGAGGCCUGAGAGUUCCUGCCCAGGAAGGACCUGCGUUACCUGGGGACGUCCUGCAGAGGCUUAGCCGUGCUGGACGCCAACCCCAGAAAUGUGAGGGCAAGGCUGGGUGCUUUCUUUCAGGGGCAGGCGAUGGGCUACUUCCCACUCACUGGCUCCGGAUCUGUCCCCUGGCCCUGCAGCCCUCCCUCUGUGGGAAGCGGGGGAAGGACUGCAACAGCUCCCGGUAGCAGCCCUGGGGCAACGGCCGGGUUGCUUUGCCCGUUGGGCCCGUGGUGCGCUUCCCGUGCAUAGACAGUUUUCCAGGGUGGGCCGGGCGUCUCCUCACAGAGUUACCAACCUAGCAAAGCACUGGAAGGAAACAAGCAUCCGGGACUCAGCGUGAUCAGGACGAGAAACCAGCGACGUUUCUGGCUGUGGACGUUGGUCUUUGAUUCUGGCGGAGUGCAGAGUGUCCAGAGGGGAGGCAGCAGGGCCCGGCGGGUGACACGGGAAGCCUGGAGCAGUGGAUGACCAUGUACUGCGGAGGGGACAGCAUGAGACUCUUGAGGGAUCACUGGACACCAACUCUGGAUGGACACCACCUCCGAGGGACCUGAGAUGCUGCUGUGGCCCACGAUCCAGACUGGGGGAUUGCGGGAACCAGGUGACCCCUGCAGCUUUGACUCAGGUUCAUUCCACGGGGGGCCAGGGCGUGUCUGAAUUCAUCCUGUGCUCACGCCCCAGCUUUGGAAUCCAAACGUGGAAUAGAUUGCACUUGGCAACUGGCAGAAUCCCAUCGUUUCCCUGACUCGGGGAAUGACCCAAGGGCUAUUAUGGUGGAAUGGUCAAAUGGAAUAUUCUAGAAAUGCCUGUACCUCCUCAGAGGAGCACACCAGAAGAAACAUGGCAUCUCUGGAGGGAUUGCAGAGAUUAGUGCCACUGUGAAGCACUUGAAAUCCGGUCAGUGACUCCUCACCACAUCUCUGUCUGAUCUGUGCAGGAGGCAGAUGGACUUUAGGAACCAACAGGUGUCCCUAGUAACUUGGUCAGUGGCGACACCAACCCCAGUGGCCAUCUAGUUGGGCAUUCUCUGCACGUCACCCACCAUCUGGCACACAGCUGUGAAGCUGCAGGAGUUUUUUCUCUGCUGUGAUCAGCAAAGCUGCCCAGCGGCCACUAACCCUGGUCUGGCAGGGCCAGCAGCGCCCCUUUGCUGAUCUCUGGGCAGGUGACACCUCCGUCUCUGUGGGUCUGACCCACGGAGGCCGUCCUACCUGCACGGGGCUCCCGCCGGCAUCACGCUGGUUGGAGCUGGUGAGCGGGAAGUGAGCUGAGGCUGCUCACGAGACACGCUGAGGAGACACACGGAAUAUGGGCGGAAACAAAUCCCACCACACUCGGGAGCCUGUCCUCUCAGUGAAAUUUUCCAGGCUCCGUUGGCCCGAAGCUUGUUACAAUGUCCCUUCCAAGGUCAAAGGUGAGUUUCUCCAUCUAGCACCUUCUACAAAAGAAACUCAAAGAAUCACGACCUUUCGGGACCCAGGGAACACGGUGUCCUUUGGUGGUCACCGUGAGCAUUUGUGGGUGAUCAGAGACGGCUGGCGGGAUGCGUGUCCUAGGAGGGAAGGGCCCCGUGCAGAGCACUGUGUGAUCCGCUCUGCCACCGUGGCCCUGGGCGCGCGGGCUUGAGGCACUUCCUGUGCCUCUGACAGGUGGGCUCCCGGGCGAGGGGCGAGCAGGCCCAGGUGGGCUGUGCGGCAGCUUUUCUCCUUCAGAGAAACAGCUUCUGGCUCGCACAGGCCAGCAGGCCACCGAACCAGCCCCAGGAGCUGGGAGCCAGGCGUGGGUGUGCACGACAGGCGGACUCAUCAGGCGGAAGUGCAGACAGGCCGACUUCCGGUGGUCAGCUCGGCCGUCUGACUGACCCUGGCGUGAGAGAAUGACACUCGGUAGAAAGCUGACUUUGAAUUCUGAGCUUCUCUGUGGUUAGCAGCACGUGGUCCAGAACCCUUGCCCCCAGUGGACAGCGGCAGUGGGCUGCAGCUCCCGGUGGGCUGUGCAGCCUUGAGGGGAGAUGACGCUGCCCUGCAGUGAGUGUCCACGAGGCUGCCCUGUGAUGUUCGGCAGGUUAGGAGUAUCAGACACUCUGGCUUACGGUACCUUGGACUUUGCAGGGGCUUCUCCUAAGUUGGGGAGCGUCUGAGUCGGUACAGAUCCCCAAAGCACUGGUAAGUUCUGCAGGCCUGCCGUUCAGGUCUCAUAGCUCCUGCCUGUGUCGGUCACCUUUACUCCCAACCUCCACCCGGCUUCCUUGGGAACCCUCCAGGGCCAGCUUCAGCAGAAGGGGAAGCUUCUGGUUUGGUUCACAAAUGGCUUUACGUGAUACGGACGCCCAAAGGUAGGUGAAGUAACGGGGACGCGUGUGCUGCUUGGGGAGAGCUUCUGUGUGUGGCUGUGAGAGAGAGUCGCAUCGCUGUCUUCAUUUGCAAAUUCCCAAGGAUUCCAAAUGACAGACGUGCUCCGUUCCACAGUGGCCAGCUCCCCACAGAAGUUCUGCCUCCAGCUUCCAGGUGCCUGGGCAGCCCCGUCUUGGAGGUGUGCAGGGUGAGGCCCGCACCUGGACUGUCUUCCACGUGAGGGCACACUUCUGGUUCUUUGGACCAGCAGGACGCUGCCCUGCCUGACGUCCCACAGAUGUUGGAGGACGUGAAGCUACAGCCCUGGCCAGUUAAAAAGCAGCCCUGAGCCCAGGCCUCCUGGGGUCAUUCUGCUCCUGGCCACGUGUGCCCAGGUCUUCCCACGCAGACAGAACUCAGCCAGACGGUGAGCUGCUUCCUCCCCAGCCCGCCCCCCACACCUCCAGGCCAGAACCCAGCACGACGUGGGUGCACGUGCAGCCAGACAUCCCGAGGCAGGCAGGUGGGGGACAGCUAUCUGGCUCUACGGAUCAUUCAGAUUCCUUCCUCUGUCGUGCCUUCUCAAGGUUGCAGAAAUUGAAUUCAAACUCCAGAAAGGCAUGCCGGCCAGGCGAAGCGCCUGAUGGUGCUGAUUGCCGACACAUGGCUGAGCAAGCCGGGGAGGCUGUGGGGACUGGUGGUGUUGAUUAAGGGGGAUGAUCGCAAGAAACAUCAUUCAAAGCCCUGGCCCUCGCACACAGCACACGUUAAAAAAAUCUGUUCUUCAAACAAAGCACUAAAACAAAAACAAGAAUUCUGAUGCAAGUAUUUAAUGGUCCUGAAGAUGGAAACUUAAUCUUGGACUUGACUUUUUCCAGGAGUGAUGGAAAAGGCCACAUAAAGCAAGAUGCUCUAGUUGGGAUUUCUCACAGCUGUGGGUGCAAGUUUGAAAUAAGGGAGAUCAAAUCAAUGCCUGUGAAGUCUUCAGAAUCAAGAUAGCUUUAGGUUGCAAAGUAAAGGAACCACAUAGGACCCAGCUCUCCCCUGCUUGGUAUGUAUCCAAAAGAACUAAAAUCAGCACAUACAGGGAGACAGGCCUUCCAACUCUUUUUUUUCCAGCAGGAAACAUGUCUGUCCUGUCGGCCCGGGAUGCGGGUGGCUACCAGGCUAGGCCCAAGGCAAAAGCUUAUGCUGAGAAAGUAGCCACCAGCUGCAAAAGGGUAAAGGGAGGGGGUGUCCAUGACAGCCUGGGUGCCUCCCCCAGGGCUCCUGGUUGGAAACCGAUCCUGGCAAGUAUCCAGGUUCCUAGGCUUGACGCAGGACUCUGAAGCAGGACUGGUGACAGCAUGGGUUUGGGGCAUGUGGAUAGUGCUGGACAGAGGAGAUGGUCCUGCUGCCUGGAGAAAAGGAAGAUCUGCAGCCCAGAACUCUGUUAAAGGGCUACUGCCCAUCGGCCAUCUCGCUGCUCUGCGGUUUUAAAUUUAGGUCCAUGCUGUUAAGGUAGCGCCUGCUGAACGAGCAGUGUGGGCUGCAGGGAGCGCCCACUCAGCUCUGGGGCUGGCAGGUGUGCGCUGGGUGCUGUAGGGUGAUUGAGUAUGUGGCUUGCGACAUGAGCAGAUACGCACGGAGAGACUCGUUGCCUUUCCCACCCUCUGUUGAGUAGCUUUUCCUGAGGCUCCACUGGAGCAGAGUUGAAGGCGAGAACGUUCCAGAUGCAGAAAGAAGUGAAACCGACCAUUGACAGAGCAUCCUCACCCCUGGCUGGACGGAGGUUCAGCGGCCUGCCGUCUGCAGUAGCGUUUGCCAAGAUGUGCCCUGAUCCCCAAAGACGCUCCGAGAGGACACCGCUCGGGCUGUGCCCAGCUCACCUUCAGGGUCACUGUGCCCUGGUGGGGCUGAGGGCGGGAGGGGUGUGCAGCAGAGGAACUGCUCCACUGCAUGUCCCCACGCGUCCCCCGGGCUGCUCUGGUGUCCCCAGUUCUUCCCUUGGGAACACUAUGUAUCUUUAUUCGUAUGCAUAUCUGGAAACGCAUGUGGGGAACCGUGGCUGCGGGUGAGCCGUGAACUCUGGGCAGCUCGGGGAGGGCGCUGUGCGGGGGGAUGGCCGCCUCUCCGUGGACUCGAUGCGGGGAGAGUCUCACUCCCUGAGCUUCUCAAACAUGGACUCAUUUCACCUCCUGAAGAAGGAAAAUGAAAUGAAAUUUGAAUUUUCCCCAGUGAGAGGAAUGAAAUACUCUGAAAUACAAUUUUGUUGAGCAGUGUCUAACUCUGAGGACCACAAACCAGCAUAGUAUCUAAGUUGUGCUGACUUUCAUUUUAUUUAUUUUAUUUUUGUCCAAGAAUCCCUGGUGGCUCCCGUGGGGGCGAUGUCUCCCCCAUUAAGAAUGCAAGCUUUGGGCUUAACAUCAAAAAACCCUAAAUAACCCAAUCGAUAAAUGGCAAAAGAACGAAUCAGACAUUUCUCAAAAGAAAAAAACACAAAUGGCUAACAAAUAAAUGAAAAAAUGUUCAACAUCUC